GAAGGUGUUCUUGAUGAAUUAGAGUGCGAGACAAAGAGAAGGGAAGUGCUUAAAUUAUAUGGAAGCACCAGAAAAAAGAAAACUAGAGUGUCCAUAUAUGGGAAGUUAUGCUGCCUCUACAUGCUUAUGAGUUUUUUACAAACUAAGCUACCAUAUUCAUCGGGACUAGACUGAAAUGCAGAAAGUUUCAAUGUUAUUUAAUUAUAGUCUUCUCUCUUUUUACAUACAUUAUUAUAUAAUUUGCAUUUUCUACAUUAUUUAUAUUGUAAUAAUGCCAUCUCCUUAAUUAAAUAUGAAUUGCAUAUAUUUUACAUGUAAAUAAUGUUU